rnacentral:snoRNA from 16 species
CAUCGCUCUCCAGCUCCAUGCUAGACGUACAUUCAGUCAGUGUGGCGUUACAAUGAGCGGAAAUUGUCACUGUUCCUAAAAACAAUUGCUAGUCUCUGUAUGAGCUAAUGAUCACCUGGUGGUUCAGACAUUU